AUAAUUGAGGGGUUCAGAGCUGAAGUCAGAGGAACCAAGUCCAUUCAGCCUAGUUUUGAGUUGAAUUACUUAGAAGUUGUUUAUCACCAAUUAAUUAAAAAGUGACUUCUUCAGAUAUAUGGAGGGUCUCUACCCUCCAUAUUCAGAUAUUAAAAGAUUAGAAUGUAAGCAUAUGUUUACAUAAGAAUAAUAAUGAAUAAAGAAGUCACUUUCGAAUUAAUUGGUGAUAAACAACUUCUAAGCCAUUCAUGUCAAAACUAGGCUGAAUGGACUUGGUUCACUUCAGCUCUGAUUCCCCCAAUUAUAUAGAUUGUCAUCUUAGAUUGCACCAUCAAUAAAAUCAGUUGCAAAAACAUUAGUUUGGUAGAGUCACAACUAACAUACACCCAUACAUGGCAUUCUCGAUUGCGGCCUGCGGGACAACCGAGUCAUGUGAAAAGAUUGAAAAUUGAUCAAAAAAUAAUUCUGGAACUAAUGUUACAGUACAAUUACCUACUGAGCUGUCCUGCAAGGAAGCACACCUAUUUGAUUUUAGAGGCUUGUACUUCUCUAGAGUGGUAAAGUUUUAUUUUAAAGAUAAAUCUUACUUGGAACGAGAGAUGUUAUCCCACUAUGUAGUAGCAAACAAGAGCUCCUGAAACUACAAAAUUAAAAAGGAAGCCUGCUAAAACGACUGGCGCCUUAGAUAUUUUGCAUUGUUGAGGCCUAGAUUCAUCAAUAGAUGAACAUACGGUUUUGGGAGCACAUUCUCUUAGAAUCUUAGAUGAUUCUUAACUGAUUUCUUAUUUGGCGAUGGCGCCCAUGUGGUGAAUGAUUAUUUUUCAAAUUAAUCUCCACCAGAUAUACAUUAAUUUAGUGAGGUAGCAACGUAACUUGCCUCCAUCCUAUUUUUUCUUUAUAUGUUUAAAAUUACUUCUUAUCCCAUAGAUAGUGUUGAGCUUACACUCAUCUAUAGCUUUGUUCGUAGAGUGGUUUGCAACGGUUGUGAACUGUACAGAGCAAGCGCAAUUCCAUUUUAGGGUAGCGAAAAUCCAUUUGCGCUUACUCUGUACAGUUCACAACUGUUGUGAACCACUCUACGAACAAGCCUUAUAUUUUGUGUUUGUUUUGUUUUUUCAUACUGUACUGAGUAGGUACUGCUCCAAAAAAAAAAAAAAAUACUGAUUAUUGAUUAUACUUGCAUACCAUUCUCGCCAUCCCUAGCAGUACCGCUUUCUGCAUGAGCCUAUAGAUAUUUGUACUUUGAGAUCGCUGUAUUUUGAACUUUUCAUUGUAGUAUUGUGGCUAUCUAGUAGAUUUUUAUUAUCUGGAAUCGUUGCACCGAUGAGUAGUGCUCUGUUCUCAUCCUCAUUCAGGCCAAAUUUGUGUUAUUUUCCAGUCUAUGUACAUGAGAACCAUGCGAUCCCAUUAGAGCUUGUGAUGAUCAUUCCACUACUGGAUGGUAAUUUUAAGAUUUUUUGACCUUAGAAGUCGAUGUUUUAUUGCCAUUUUUUUGGUGUAAAAUAAAGAAUUUCUUCUUAAUCUAGGACUAAGUGAUGUAAAGCUGUUGAUUUCUUGAUUAGGCUUUGUAAAACUGUGCACUAAACUUCUGUUUCUUUUCACUAGUUAUAUAAGGUUUCUUCACUUACAACUAAUCAUAGUUUCUCCGAAAUCCGUGACUCAAAAUUAAGGAUUACAAGCAGUUUUUUAGAAGUUUUUCGUAGUAAAGACCCAGCUCUCUAUAUCAGUUAGGUGAUGGCUUCGGGUGAGAAGCCCCAUCUAGGGGGAUGCAUUAUUUAUCUCCAAGGACUUCUCCUUCUAGAGAUGAUAACCAAUUAAAUUAAGUAUUUUGAUGAAGUGUUAUGUAGUACGUUCAAGGCAUAUGAAUUCAUUUCAAUUCUCACAGAGAGCACAUGUUCACCACACGUUCACAGAGGAACAUGUGCUAUAAAAUAAAAUAUGUAAAUAAUCAAUACUUUAAUGAAUAAACCUUAACAAUAAUAGGUACAUA